UACGUAGGGCGCAAGCGUUGUCCGGAAUUAUUGGGCGUAAAGCGCUCGUAGGCGGCCUGUUGCGUCCGCUGUGAAAUCCCGGGGCUUAACCCCGGGCUUGCAGUGGAUACGGGCAGGCUGGAGGCAGGCAGGGGAGAACGGAAUUCCCGGUGUAGCGGUGAAAUGCGCAGAUAUCGGGAGGAACACCGGUGGCGAAGGCGGUUCUCUGGGCCUGUACUGACGCUGAGGAGCGAAAGCGUGGGGAGCGAACAGG
rnacentral:rRNA from 1 species